rnacentral:rRNA from 1 species
UUCCGGUUGAUCCUGCCGGAGGUUACUGCUAUCGGUGUUCGCCUAAGCCAUGCGAGUCAUAUGUAGCAAUACAUGGCGUACUGCUCAGUAACACGUGGAUAACCUGCCCUUGGGACCGGCAUAACCCCGGGAAACUGGGGAUAAUUCCGGAUAACGCAUAUGUGCUGGAAUGCUUUAUGCGUAAAAUGGAUUCGUCUGCCCAAGGAUGGGUCUGCGGCCUAUCAGGUAGUAGUGGGUGUAAUGUACCUACUAGCCAGCGACGGGUACGGGUUGUGAGAGCAAGAGCCCGGAGAUGGAUUCUGAGACAUGAAUCCAGGCCCUACGGGGCGCAGCAGGCGCGAAAACUUUACAAUGCGGGAAACCGUGAUAAGGGGACACCGAGUGCCAGCAUCAUAUGCUGGCUGUCCAGGUGUGUAAAAUACACCUGUUAGCAAGGGCCGGGCAAGACCGGUGCCAGCCGCCGCGGUAACACCGGCGGCCCGAGUGGUGAUCGUGAUUAUUGGGUCUAAAGGGUCCGUAGCCGGUUUGGUCAGUCCUCCGGGAAAUCUGAUAGCUCAACUAUUAGGCUUUCGGGGGAUACUGCCAGACUUGGAACCGGGAGAGGCAAGAGGUAC